ACCAUUCAGGAGUUGCAUCUUCAUCUGUUAUGAAUGUAACAACAAGUUGUUUCUUUUUUUACUUAUUGAGUAUCUAGAUCCAAAGAUUGGGAAGGAUGUUUCAUUUGUUUGCCUAAUAUACUUUUUUCAUUCCCUUCCCCUGUUUGUCAGUGGUUCCUUUUGGCAUUGUUUACUAGAGACAAAGUAAUCACACAUGUUUGGUAAUUGCUUUUCUAACAGGUCCGACUUCGACUUCUAACAAGUUUUAUUCCUAAUAUCCGUUUCAAAGUAAUCACAAGUUCGAGCACUAACUGCUUCGUUUUUUUAUAAUCAGAUGUUCGAGCUCUAACUGGUUUGUUCAAUGUUUAUUUUGCUCUAAUAUAUUAAACUUAUCUUUUUUUUUUUGUUGCGGAACUUGGAUUUUGCACCUGUACAAUAUCGAGAGGCAUGAAGGAUACAUUUUGUCCUAAAACAUGGUUCCUAAAUUGUAUUUGCAUCUAAAAUUGAACAAAAAAUACAUGUAUUUGAAUAAGACAAUAUUUUUUAAAAGUUUUCUUAAAAUGAAAAUCUGUGAAAUGCAAGAAAUAGUAAUGUAUGUUUAUUGAUUUGUUGAUUAAAUUAUCUAACUUUCAUAUUUUUCUUAUUCUAGCAAUGUACUUUAAAAUACUUAUCCGGUUAUAGCAAUGUCAUAUUAUUUGGUAAGAGUUUAGGAAACGAUUUGAAGAAGAUAGCCUUGUCAACACAUCUGUUACUACAGUGUUGGUAAAGCUGGUGGGGCAUAAUGGAAGAAAAGAGAAACAAAUUCAAAAGCAACAAAUACAUAUUCGAAGAUUAAACUAUGAUACAUACGGUAGUUCUUAGCAAAUAGAGAAAAUAACAAAAAAUGAUUUUUAUGUGCAUGUGUAUGACAAUUUCAAUGCUCAAAAAAUUCAACCAAAAAGUUAUAACUAAAUAGCAUGGGUUUAAGUUAACCUGCUAAUGGCAGGUUCAAUACUUAUAUAUCUUAGUGCUCAAACAUAGGUGGUUCAUGGGAAGUACAAAACAAUACUUUCUUUUAUUAUCUACAAAUAGAUGUUAUAGUUGUAGAAAUUAGAAAUUAUACACCCCCUUUUUAUUCCAACAAGCAACAUAGCUCUUAUAUUGAUGCCUGUACACCAUUCUGAUGCCCGUACACCAUUCUGGUCCUUAAGUUUGGUAAAAAAAAUUAGUCAUUACUCUGGUUGAAACUCAAACCAAAUAUCAUGCCAAUUAGUGGAGACUAUUUAAUCUAUUUUAUCAAUUCCAUGUUUGGUAAUUUAUAAAUUCUAAUUUUCUUUUGGAAAUAAAAUUUUCCUAUAUGUCAAUGUAUUUUACCAAAAUAAACAAGUUACUUUGACUUAUUUACAAUUAAUAGCAACCAACUUUCAAAUUUUACUAUUUUAGAUUUUUAUGUUUAAUCAGCUUUUCUCUUUUUUUUAUUCAUCUAAUUAGUUUAACCUAUUUUAGAAAUUAAGCUAAUAAAUUAAGACUUAUUUUGAAAUGUGUUCCAUAUGUUUCUUACAAAUGUAACUUUAGUAUGGUCUGUUUUUUUUCUUUGUGUUCCUUAAUAGAGAUUGGAGAAACAAAAGAAGAUGUUGGGGCAAGUUUUUCCGAGAAAAGGUCAAUUAAGUGGAGUACAAUUCUCAAAGCCCCAUAGUUUGUUUCUGCUCUACUUUUGCAUUCCAAUGUUUCAUGUCUGUUUUUUGGUUUUAAUGCAGAUUUGGACUAACCAUGGCUUUUUGGUAUUCUUUUCAGGUUGAUGAGGGGGCAAGUUAGUUCGUUUUCAAAGUUUCGAUUGGUGUGUUUUAUUUUUCUAUAAGAGUUGAUUGUGUUAUCUUUCAUGGUUUUGUCAAAACUUCAAUUUAUUGUUCGCCUUUUAUUGUGUUUUUGUCUUUAAUAAUGUAUGGAGUAGCUUUAUGUUUGUUGACAUUUUUAUGUUUUAAAAUGUAUAUGUUCUUGUGGCUAA